UCACCUGUACCAUCAAGAUCAAGAUCAAGACCGUCAUUGUUAGCUUGGAGUGUUGACAUUGACAGCUUUUGAACAUUUGUGGAGCAGAGGUGCACCAUGGCUUGCCACAAUGUCACAACUGGUCCUUGGAGAGCCGCUGGUGGUGACGGGCUGCCUGUGUCCUCUCUGCGGCAAAACUCACAAAUACUCCACUCACCAAGUUCCAGAGGGAGAGGAUCACCAGACACCACCGGCCGUACUAAAGGAAGUUGCUCUAUGUAGGG